CUUGUAUGUGGAUGGUUUUGCUGUGAACAGACAACAUGCGGUCACAGGAGCUCUCCGUGCAGAUGGUGCCAGAUGCUAGGUUUCUAAUGGUUAAACAGCUUUAGUGUAAUUUCGCUGUACAUCCUCCAAUAAGCCUGAAAAGGGACACCUGGACGCAGGCAAACUAAAGCAAUCAGACACCAUUCAACUUCAGACAAAGUGGAAACAUGGCAGAUAAUAAAUUGUUCAUCAACUUUGGGAUGUUAGCACAUCCAAAAAUAACAUACCGGAUAAUGAGUGAACAAGCAGUAAGUCUGUCAUCUGUGAUCUGUAAAAUGAGAGCUAAUAGGAUGGGAGAUCCAUUUUCAAGGAGUGAAAGAUUUGUAGGGUAUAAGAAUCGUAUAGUCAUUAUUGUUCUUUACUCCCUUCUUUGUCUAAAGGUCCAGCUGGAAACUGUCUCAGCAAUCCCCUGUUAACUUUCCACUUGUUCUGUCUUUUCCUUCUGAGUAUAAAUAGUCAUCAGAUUACUGAACAUUUUAGCAGUUAAAUGUUUGACAACCAUUAAAUAUCUGCAAAAUAAAAAAAUAAUUGAGUUGAAACUAUGCCAGUCUGAGAAGGCUAAGUAUUAUGACAUUACAAGUGAAUACAUAAGAAGCAGAAGGUUUUUUUCUGUCUUAACAAUUAAAAUGAAAAUUAAUAUCUAUUAUGUUUCCUAUUUACACCUUUGUGAUUCACACGCAGUACUGGUGAGAUAUAUAUAUGCCACGGUUGACUAUGGAAAUCAUUUGAAAAUAUUUUGCCCAAAUGUUGAUGGGGACAUGUACCUUCAAUAGCAAUAUCGCUCCAAUCAAGUGGUGCUGGACUACAGCAUACUCUAGCAUAUUAUUAAGGGGCAGAUUUAUCAAGGGUUGAAUUUCAAGUUCAUUGGAGUGAACUUGAAAUUUGACCAAUUGCAAUUUAUUAAAAAGAAAUCUAAUUUUACAAAAUCGGAUGAAUAGGAUUGACCCGCAAAUUCUCAAAACUUGAGUUUUUAUCUCUGAAAAAAACUUUAAUGUCAGGAAAUCUGCAAACAACUCUGAAUUGAUCCCAGGAUCAUGUCUUCCAUAGGCUAAAACAGCAAUUCAGCAGGUUUAUAGUUUUGAGGUAAUUAGCUAGGCCCUUAAUAGAGGCUUAUAGAGGCCUACGUGACAGAAAAGAAAUAGCCAUACUUCAGCCAUACUGUUAUUUACAGCUAAAAGUAUGCAGUCUCUGAUGUUUAUCAUAAGUUAUGGAAGUUUUUUUAGAUCUAAAAAGGGAUCAUAUCAGCCACCAUCAUGCCUGGAAUAGUCAAGUGUUAUAACCAAAGACCAAGCAGACCUAAUGUAUAACAAAGAAGAUGAACUGAUAUGAACAAAAACCUGAACUUUGAUUAGUUAAAAUAUUGGUAAACAAGGUCACUGGACAUUGAUUGGUUUAAGUAUUGGACUGAGAUGGAUGUUUUGGAAUAAGAGGUAGCAUGGGUGGUUAUAAAAUAAGCUAGGAAUAAUGUGAGUUUGGAAGACUUAUGUACAUUGUUCUAUUUACAUCUGUAUUCUCCACCGGAAUAUUAAAGCUUGGCUUUCUGUCAA